rnacentral:tRNA from 1 species
GGGUGAUUAGCUCAGCUGGGAGAGCACCUCCCUUACAAGGAGGGGGUCGGCGGUUCGUCAUCACCCACCA